GAGGGUAUAGCUCAGUGGUAGAGCACGUAUUUAUAUGCACGAGGUCCUGGGUUCAAUUCUCAGUGCCUCUA
rnacentral:tRNA from 1 species